rnacentral:rRNA from 1 species
GUAGUUCCCGAGCGUUGUCCGGAUUUAUUGGGCGUAAGCGAGCGCAGCGGCUAGAUAAGUCUGAAGUAAAGGCUGUGGCUGAUCAUAGUACGCUUUCGAAACUGUUUAACUUGAGUGCAGAAAGAGGAGAGUGGAAUUCAUGUGUAGCGGUGAAAUGCGUAGAUACAUGGAGGAACACCGGUGGCGAAAGCGGCUCUCUGGUCUGUAUCUGACGCUGAGGCUCGAAAGCGUGGGGAGCGAACAGGAUUAGAUAUCCUGGUAGUGCACGCCGUAAACGAUGAGUGCUAGGUGUUAGGCCCUUUCCGGGGCUUAGUGCCGCAGCUAACGCAUUAAGCACUCCGCCUGGGGAGUACGACCGCAAGGUUGAAACUCAAAGGAAUUGACGGGGGCCCGCACAAGCGGUGGAGCAUGUGGUUUAAUUCGAAGCAACGCGAAGAACCUUACCAGGUCUUGACAUCCCGAUGCCCGCUCUAGAGAUAGAGUUUUACUUCGGUACAUCGGUGACAGGUGGUGCAUGGUUGUCGUCAGCUCGUGUCGUGAGAUGUUGGGUUAAGUCCCGCAACGAGCGCAACCCCUAUUGUUAGUUGCCAUCAUUCAGUUGGGCACUCUAGCGAGACUGCCGGUAAUAAACCGGAGGAAGGUGGGGAUGACGUCAAAUCAUCCACACACUUAUGACCUGGGCUACACACGUGCUACAAUGGCUGGUACAACGAGUCGCAAGUCGGUGACGGCAAGCUAAUCUCUUAAAGCCAGUCUCAGUUCGGAUUGUAGGCUGCAACUCGCCUACAUGAAGUCGGAAUCGCUAGUAAUCGCGGAUCAGCACGCCGCGGUGAAUACGUUCCCGGGCCUUGUACUCACCGCCCGUC